rnacentral:rRNA from 1 species
GGCGAACGCUGGCGGCAGGCUUAACACAUGCAAGUCGAGCGGGCAUAGCAAUAUGUCAGCGGCAGACGGGUGAGUAACGCGUGGGAACGUACCUUUUGGUUCGGAACAACACAGGGAAACUUGUGCUAAUACCGGAUAAGCCCUUACGGGGAAAGAUUUAUCGCCGAAAGAUCGGCCCGCGUCUGAUUAGCUAGUUGGUGAGGUAAUGGCUCACCAAGGCGACGAUCAGUAGCUGGUCUGAGAGGAUGAUCAGCCACAUUGGGACUGAGACACGGCCCAAACUCCUGCGGGAGGCAGCAGUGGGGAAUAUUGAACAAUGGGCGCAAGCCUGAUCCAGCCAUGCCGCGUGAGUGAUGAAGGCCCUAGGGUUGUAAAGCUCUUUUGUGCGGGAAGAUAAUGACGGUACCGCAAGAAUAAGCCCCGGCUAACUUCGUGCCAGCCGCAGCGGUAA